UCCCUACGCUACACAGUGCUGUCCCACAACUAUUUUUCUAUUGUUGCUAUUUUUCUAUUGUUGCACUACCUGCUCUAUACACGCAGUGUCGAGCAACGGUGGAGACGGAAUUACAAGCAGUUCAACAUUAUGCGGCAACGACAAAAUGCAUUACCAGGCUCAGGGUGAGUGGCCCUGACUGGUUCGGUGGCUCAUAAUCACACUCAGUGUAACCAUGAACUCCAGAAUCAAAUCACAUCCAGGCAGAUCCACGUCUCCCAGCGGAACAAGAGAAACCGUUGACUCACCCUGCGUCGCUGCUGUUCCCACAGAUUAAGGCAUCCUUGGCUCCCUCCACCUUGUAGAAGUUGUCUAAAAUUUAACAAAAAAAAAAAAAA